GCUGAAUCAAGAUGGUCCAGACAUUAUGGAUUACAGAUCCCGUAAUUCCUGAUCACUUGCUAUGCUAUCGAUGGAUGAAGGGUGCUAUAGUGCAAGAUAAGUAGAGGGUGCAGGGUUGUCUCUCCUAAUUCAAAGCUUAACAACCACCAGAUUUGGAUAGCCAGAUUUGGAUCGAAACCAUGGUUCCAGGCAUAAAUGAUCAGAGGAGGAUACAUUGCCUUCGUGCUCAUAGACCCAAGCCUCCUGCAAGUAUCGGAGAGAACGUUCAGAAUUCAUGCGGGUGCCAACCGUGGUGUGGGAAUGAGAGGACAACUGUACAGACACUCUAUAUGCUGAUUGUUGUGAUCCUCCUGAUUGCAAUUUGGGGAGUGUGGGCAAGGAAAGAUUCCUGAGCAUGCUUCACAUCAGCUACUCCUGGAGGUCCUCUGCAGACAGAAAGGACCAAAACUUCAAAACUGAUAUACCCUGGGGCUCUUCUUGAAAUGAAAUUGAGAUUACAGUUAUGGAUGGAUUCACAGCUCUUGUUUUGAGCAAUGCAUGGGAUGAAAGAAAGAAGGAAAGAAAGAAGGAAAGAAAGAAACUAUUUUUGUACAGCUGUGUGUAAUGAUAAUAAUGUUAUAAUGCGCCACUUUAAAAGUACAUGUAAAGUAUUUAAUUAUACAUAUAAUAAAUGUACAUAUGAUUAAAAGAUUUUGUCA
rnacentral:lncRNA from 1 species